CUCUGACUGGGCCACUUCAGAAGGCGUAUUUUCUUGUGUUUAAGCCAUUCUGUUGUUGAUUUACUUCUAUGCUUUGGGUCAUUGUCCUGUUGCAACACCCAUCUUCUGUUGAGCUUCAGCUGGUAGACAGAUGGCCUUAAGUUCUCCUGCAAAAUGUCUUGAUAAACUUGGGAAUUCAUUUUUCCUUCAAUGAUGUUACGCUACAUGGGUGAUUUGGAUUGGAACUCAACUGCAGCUUGUAAACUCCCUAAUUACAAUUGUGAAGAAACAGAGAAUCUUUAAAGUAUCAAUACUGUAGCUUUAAG